UUUAAAGAGUGCGUAACAGCUCACUAGUCGAGCGAUUGAGCAUGGAUAAUGAACGGGCAUAAGAUUAAUACCGAAACUAUGGAUUGUCAGUCAACCGACUGACAGUGGUAGGGGAGCAUUCUAACAUCAGUGAAGGUGUACCGUAAGGUAUGCUGGAGAGGUUAGAAAAGAAAAUGUAGGCAUAAGUAACGAUAAAGCAGGCGAGAAACCUGCUGGCCGUAAGACUAAGGUUUCCUGAUCAACGCUAAUCGGAUCAGGGUUAGUCGGGACCUAAGGCGAACCGAUUUAGGGUAGCCGAUGGACAACAGGUUAAUAUUCCUGUACCAAGUAGAGAGGACGGAGAUGGCGAGAUGUUGCGAACAGACGGAAUUGUUCGUUGAAGGGAGGCGUGAGCCCCUGAUAGUACUAUGAGCUUUCGAGCAAGUAGAUAAUGCAUCAACCGAUCUUCCAAGAAAAGCCUCUACACUAAAGCCCGUACCGCAAACCGACACAGGUAGUCGAGGAGAGUAUCCUAAGGCCCUCGAGUGAUUCGUGGUUAAGGAACUAGGCAAAUUAACCCUGUAACUUCGGGAUAAGGGGUGCCCCCCAAGCGAUUGGGGGGCCGCAGUGAAAUGGCCCAGGCGACUGUUUAUCAAAAACACAGGGCUUUGCAAAAACGAAAGUUGAAGUAUAAGGCCUGACACCUGCCCGGUGCUGGAAGGUUAAGGAAGGGAGUCAUCUUCGGAGAAGCUCUUAACUGAAGCCCCAGUAAACGGCGGCCGUAACUAUAACGGUCCUAAGGUAGCGAAAUUCCUUGUCGGGUAAGUUCCGACCUGCACGAAUGGUGUAACGAUUUGGAUACUGUCUCAGCCAUGAGCUCGGUGAAAUUGUAGUAUCGGUGAAGAUGCCGAUUACCCGCAACGGGACGAAAAGACCCCGUGCACCUUUACUAUAGCUUCACAUUGGUUUUGGUUAUAUAUUGUGUAGGAUAGGUGGGAGACUUUGAAGCUGGGCCGCUAGGUCUGGUGGAGUCGUUGGUGAAAUACCACCCUAUAUAUAAUUGAAGUCUAACUUCGUCUAAGACGAAGGACAGUGUGUGGUGGGUAGUUUGACUGGGGUGGUCGCCUCCAAAAAAGUAACGGAGGCUUUCAAAGGUACCCUCAGUAUGGUUGGUAAUCAUACGCAGAGUGUAAUGGCACAAGGGUGCUUGACUGUGAGACUGACAAGUCGAACAGGGUCGAAAGACGGACAUAGUGAUCCGGUGAUUCUGUAUGGAUGGGUCAUCGCUCAAAGGAUAAAAG
rnacentral:rRNA from 1 species